rnacentral:lncRNA from 1 species
AUGUCACUCCAAGUGCAUCUAUAGUCCAAAAUCUCCUUCUUAAUGCAUCAAAGCUCAUCCAAUGUUAUCAAAAUCAAGCCCUGCAACAACUAAUCAUGUCCAAUAGUUAGAGAAACAAUUAUAGCUCAAACACAAUACAAUUAACACGUUUUAGCUCAUAGAACAAGUCUAAAUUUGGAUAAAUGUUGGCACUUGAAUGUAUAAAUACACCCAAGAUCAGAUAAUUGGGAUCCAUAGGUGACUCAAGAGGUUAAUAUCUGCAAUACCAGACAACAUUAAUGGAAUGCCCUAGAUACAAUAUCCUAUAUCAAAUAAAUCCUAUAUACCAUAAAUAUUAUAGAUGUAACAAUGCUAAUAUUGAUUUUUAAUUUUUAGUGCAUUUUGAUAAUUUUAUCCCUCUCUAUCGUUGUAUUAUGUUAUUUAUGUGUGAUCUCUCUUUAAAAAAGGUGGAAACCUAUAGCUUAGAACUCCCAAAACAUGGAACAAAAAUUUGAUUUUUGAAAAAAGGUUAUUUCUAUAUCUAGUGCAUGCAUUACCGCGAGUUCACUGACCAAGGUGACUGGCCAACGCUAUCGUGGGCCAGAGAUGUGACCAUGCUGCACAAGUAGGGCUUGGACCUAAGCCUUCACGACGUUACAGCUGGAAUGCAAUAGUGUUUAAAUGUCUAGCCACUCAGCAUUAUCGUGCUCUGUUCCGUUAUUGUUUAGCAAAUGUAGAUGCACUUCAUUUGAUCACGGUGCCCCAACUGACAGCAAAUUCUGCAAUCUCAUUUUGGGUCCAAGUGAUCCAAACUUUACAUGGGUGACAUGGGUCUCAACUCAAACCACCCUAAUGAGUCCCAAAUGGUAAAAAUUACUUGUACAAAGGCUCAAAAUAUGAUUUGGGCAUAAUUACUCCAAACAAAGGAUCGGGUUGUAACAGUAAUGGGUAUUGGAAAAGAAUAUGGAGGUAAAGGAACACCUACAAAGUUAGGCAUAUAAAUUUUUUUCAGAAUAACUUUAGGGUGUAAAUAUGUUUUUCCCUUUCUAAUAAUAUUAUUUGUAUCAAGCUACAUAGCUUCUCAUUGCCUGCAUAGGAAUUGAAUCUGCAUGACUUCUGUGGUCAAAGUUGUUGGGGCAUAUCAUAGUUAAAAAUGCAAAUGGGAACCUUUUUCUGAUUCCUUAUCUUUUAGUUUGCUUGAACAAGUUAGAUUAAUAAAGUCACUGCGAUGUUCCUUGGGAAGAAGCUAUGAAUUAAUUCAAGAUUUUAUUCUUUCGGACUAGAAAAUCUACGCAAUCAAUACGCAGGUGUAAAUAACUGUGUUGCAGUCGUGACUUUAGUAGUUGAGUUUAGAGAUCAGAAAUUUAACCUUGUGUAACAACAAGUGUUAAGAGUGAUCAAUGACAUUUUCCAAAGAGGAGCGACCUCAGAUCUAUAUUUUGGAACCUGAACUUGAUUUUCUAGUCUGUUUUUGUUUGCGAAAAUAGUUGACUGGUCAGAUAUUCUCGUCUAUAAAUGGUUUCUUUUUGAUGGAUUGUAAAAUUUAACUCUGACCCUCUAAAGUAAAUAACUCUAUCAUUGAUGACUGGUAGAGAGAAUAACUAUGUUUCAGAACCAGCUACUAAAAAAGCAAAUGGUAGCUUGUAAAAUUGCUAUUUAAUGUAUGAUUUUUAACAAUAAUGAGGGAAUGUUAUGUGUAAAAAUGAAGACGAUGUCCAGUUUAAUUUUUUAUUUUUUUUAAAAAAAAAAAGAAGCAGCCCGAUUCACUGACUUUCGCUAUGCACAGUUUCGGAGAAGGGUCGGACCGUAAACGUCUAUUGUAUGCUGACUUACACUAUAUUUCUGUAAGAGGUUGUUUCCACGACUCGAACCUCUUGGUAACAUGCAACAACUUCACCAGUUAUUCCAAGACUCCCCUUUGAUGUCAAGUUUUAUUUGAUACAUAUAAGUUUUCUUAUAUCCUUCUAAAGGUAAGAGUAAGGUCGUAACGUAUUACCUUCCCCAGACCCCAGUUGUGGUAUUAUUAGACUGGACUUUUUGUGUUGUAUCUAUUUUCUUAUAUAUUAUUUUUGUUAACCUUUUAAAGUACUAUUUUCCUGUUAAAAAGAAAAAAAGAGGAAGAAUUUCUCAAGAUUCAAUUUAAAAUUAUCAGACCGCAUAUAAUGUGGAUGAUAAGCAAGCAUCUGGGUUUUAUUCAUUAGCACAAAAUGACGCGGGAAGAACGUUGUACAGGGCCAAUCCAUGGCCAAAAUCUCCCUGUUCUCUCUGCCUUCACGAAUGUUAAUCCCUUAUAGAAUUGUACGCUAUAGUAUAGGGUCUUGUACGCUAUAGUAUAGGGUCUUACUUUUAUUUGUCAUAUUGAAGGUUCUCCAUGUUGAGGUUUUGAUUUUAAUGAUGACUUUUGUAUGUAUGCAGGAUACCAAAAAGGAGAAACACAUUAUAGAUGUAGAAUUGGGUAACUGAAAAAUCAAGGAGCAAACCAAGAAACGUCAGUAAUUGUCUUGAAGGAUUAUUCAAAGAAAUGGCUACAAUUUCCCCAAAAAAACUUAGAAGACUGGGACAUCGGUUUAAGAGGAAGAAAUACUGCCCCAAGAAACUAGGAGCAUUCCACAAAUUCAAAGGAUUAGGACUCAAAUUCAAGAUCUCAAGAAAGAAGGCUUUGAAGAAUGAAAUCUGCCAAGGUGUGACUUUUCCUUAUUCUUGGAAAGGAAAUUCUCAUUUACCUUAAUUUCCAAGGAUCAAAAUCUCUUGGGUUGCCAUUUCUUCAAUCUCCAAACUUCUAGUUUUCUCCUCUAUUUCAGGAAGACAUUGGUUUACCUAAUCGGUAUUCAAACUGUAUUAGCCAACUACAAGUCUUUGCUCUACUUUUAAAUAAGCAUUCUAUUACUUAGUGCGAUAGUAUGUAACAAAAAAAGAGAGGAGAGAAAAACAAUUGGUGAGGCAUUGAACCAAAGAAAUAAUAAGAGAAGAAAAAGAUUGAGAAAAGAGUGAAAAAAGAGAAAAGAAAAGAAUGAGAAGAGAGACAUUGAGAGUAGCAAUAGAAGUUCUGUUCCCAAAGUUGUACCAAAACCAACCAUUUGCAAGGACUUAGAAGAGAACGCCCUUCUUGCACUUUCACUUGCACUCCUGACAUCCUAAAUUGCAAGGCUGCUACCGAAAUUCGUCAAUGUAUGUUUCCUAUUAAAUUUACUAUUUAUGAUUUUUUUUCAUUUAAAAAUUUGUCAUGAAAUAAAUACAUCACGAAGCUGCUAGCAAUAUUCAUGAGAUUAUGUACAUGCCAUUACAUACUUCUUUUCCUAUUCUGCUAAUAACAGUAUGAUGCAUCACAUGAAUGUUUGGAUGUCAGUAAGAAAUGCACAACAGCAUUCUCUUCUAGGUUACAACUGCGUGGAAAAAAAUUGUUUUACUAUAACCUAGUUGGUUGCAGGUGGUUAAAGAUCUAACUUACAAGCCAGAUCUUUCUCAGGAGUUUAUUCCCUGUACAGUAAUUUAUGUAGCGGCAGCUUCCAGCUGUUCGUUUAGGAAAUGUUGGAUUUUGUGUUUUCAAGAUAAACUGAUCCAAUGAUCUAUAUAAGAACCUGUAUUCAGCAUGAUCCAUUUUCGCUGGCAAGUGGAUUUAUCAUAUUUGUACUACUUUGCAUGGUCUGUCUUUCUCACUUAGACGAAUUAUCUGUUAGCUAUGUCAGUCCAAUUGCCCAUGGAUAUGGUAUCUGUUGUUACUGGAAUAUAAUCAAGAAUUUAUUUCCACUUUUAUUUUUUAGUUGUCAAACUAUGAUCAAGAGUUUCAACACAAAAUCAGCAUAUUAUAUCACACCGAUAUUUAUUAUGUUCAUCUAAAUGUGCAAAGUCGAAUCUCCCGAUAGAUCUUUACAAGGACGUCAUGGAAGAAACAACAAACCCAGAGACAGCUAAGGAUGCACCCUGAGCUUAGAUUGAUUCAGUGGAUAUCAAGGAAGGAGAAAAUCCUAGUGAACUCUAGAAAGACAUGAAAGCUCCUCCGGGAAAUUAAAUGUGGCAUUGGUGAAGCCUGAACGGGAUUCCUCUCAGAAACAGCAAGCUGAAGAUGAUGGAGUCCAAGCGACAGGAUCAUAUGUUGUUGGAGGUUCAACAUUUGGUUGGAACUUUAUAACAUACACCAGCAGGAGGCCAUCUAUUAUGGAUGAAGCAAAGUGUCCUUCCGGUCUGUAAAUGUUAAAUCUGAAUGAUGUUAGAAGCAAAGAGUCCUUCCAUUCUGCAAACGUUAAAUCCGAAUAAAGUUCCCAAAGUUCACUUUUACUCUCUACUUUUGGAAUUAGAAUGGCUUGAUUGUGUGUAUUAUAGGACAACAACAAUAACAAACCCAGUAAAAUCCCACAAGUGAGGCCUAGGGAGGGUAAUGUGUAUGCAGACCUUACCACUACCUCGAGGAGGCUGAAAGGCUAUUUUCGGAAGACACUCGACUCAAGUGUAGCACAUCCAGAUACAAAGAAGAGGAAAAUAGUGUAGAAAAUAUGAUAACUAAUCUGCCAAAAAAUAGUUUGAUAGUCAAAAAAUAGUAGACAAUAACAAUGAUAAAUAUUUACGGCUAAAUCCUAAGUUACCAUACUACGAUGCAUGAUAACACUCCUACAUGACUAACCUUCUACUCUAAUAUGCGUCCUCCACAUCCCCUAUCUGAGGUUAUGUCCUUCGUAAAUAUGUGUCAUCUCCAAUCUAAUCACCUCACCCCAAUACAUCUUCGCCCUACCUCUACCCCUCUUAAUACCUACGAUAUAAAACAACUCAUAUGUUCUUACUGAGAAGGGCGUCUAAACCUCGCCUGACCACAUGACCAAACCAUCUCCAUCUCACUUUUUUCAUCUUGUCCACCACGGAGUCCACAACCAACUUAUCGCGAAUAACCUCAUUUCUGAUUCUAUCACACCUAGUAUGUCUACACAUCCAUCUCAACAUUCUCAUCUCUGCAACAUGCUUCUAAAUAUGAGAGUUUUUAACUGGCCAACACUCAGUCCGAUAUAGAAACAUUACUAUAACCAUCAUUCUACAAGAAUUACCAUUAAGUUUUGGAGAUAUCAUUUUAUCACACAAGACUCUAGAGGCAAGACUCCAAUUAACCCAUGUCACACCAAUACGAUGAGUGACAUCACCAUUUAUUACCCCUACUACCUUGGAUAAUAGAGCCAAGAUAUUUGAAAUGAUAGGUCUUGGGAAGAGACUAUGUACCCAAACCCAUAUCCACGUCUUUCUCAUAGAACCCCUCAUUGAAUUUGCACUCAAAAUAUUUUAUUUUAGUCCUGCUCAGCCUAAACCCUUUAGCUUUCAUAGUUCGUCUACAUACCUUUAACAUUUCAUGCAUGGCAUUAUGCAGCUCGUCGAGCAAUACUAUGUCAUUAGCAAAUAAGAAAAUCAUGACACCUUAUCUUGGAUACCCUGCGUCAAUACAUCCAUCACCAAAGCAAAGAGGAAAGAACUAAGAGUUGAUCUCUUGUGCAACUCAAUUUACAUAGGGAAAUGCUCUGAGUCUCCUCCUACCUUCCUAUUAGCUCCAUCAUCAUGUUCUUUAAUGCCUUAAUUUAUGCCAUCGGUGCUCCCUAGCCUCCAGGAAUCCUUAAAGCACUUCCUUCAGAACUUUAUGUCGUAGGCCUUCUCACUGUCAGUGAACACCAUAUGUAAAUCCCAUUUCUUUUCUCGAUAUAUAUCCAUUAGUCUCCUCACCAGAUGGAUGGCUUCCGUAGUAGAUCUCCCUGACAUGAAUCCAAGAUGGUUCUUAGACAUGGAUAUACCCCUCGUCACCUUCAUCUCUACCACUCACUCCUAAACUUUAACAUUUUGACUAAAUAACUUGAUACCCUUAUAAUUGUUACAAUUCUGGAUGCAAUAGAUUUGGUUAUUUGGUUAGUCACCUACAACCUCUCUCUUCCACCUUCCCUCUCUAUUAAUUAGUUGGAUGUGUCGAGUAGAACUACUGGAUCAUCUAAAGGUUAAAAUUUCAACUAGGAUCCACCUAUUUACUACUAAUUUAUCAACUUGUCUCAAUUGGGUGAAUCUCUUUUACUGAGCAUGGGAUGUUAAAAAACUUACAUAUAUGUAACAAUCUGUUUAAGACAUAUAAUAUUACAAGUAAUAUGUUGUAAUCAGGAAAUUCAAAAUUUAAAGAGGUAAAUAUAGAAAGAAGCAAAAGCGAUUUAAUAUUUACUAUAUAUAACAACAUACCUAGUGUACUUUCUCAAAGUUGGGUCUAAAGAGGAUAGUGUAUGCAGACCAUAUCUGUCAUGACUUGAACCAGGGCCUAGUCAUGAUGGGUAUCUCAAGCUCACCAUGGAUUGGAAACUAUCUCCUUAGCCUAACCUCAAGACCACGAUAAUAAGAAUAAACAAUGGAAGAUGGUUGAGAGAGGAGAUGAGUGAAAUUUAGUAGUGCAACAUAUUCUGAGUCACAAUAAUCAUAGAUUGCGAAUUUUAAAGGAGACGGCCAAGAGCACGAUAAUCAUAAAACAAGGAUUAGCAGUGCGACAUUCUGAGUCAGAGAGGAGAUGAGUGGAAUUUAUCUAAACCAAGGUCAAGAGACGGUUGAGUGGUAUAUAUCUUGUUAGAUUUAGCAUGCAACACAUAGGAAUAAAAUGCUAGCACGAAUAACCUAUGUAGUUAUGAAUUCAUGAAAAACACAGUCCUACUUCAUCAUUCUCAAGAUUUUCUCAACAUACACUGAUAUUUAAUUACCUGUUUACAAAUUAUUGACGUGUUUUUCUUAAUCCCCCCUUUUAGAAAUGGUUUAUUGAUAGUGUAAAUAAAUUGCAUUAACCUAGAUCCUAAUCAUAUUCCUCGUGAAAUCAAACCCAACCUAGUUGGGUUCUACAUUUGUUCAACGGCCGCUUUAUAUUUUUUGAAAGAUAAUUUGGGCGACAUCAAAUUUUGAUGCCAUUGCCAAGGAAUAAGAUUUACGGUUAGAUCAACUGCAUUUAUUUGACUAUUUGUCCUUGUAUAUAUUUUAUUUGUCUUAUAAUUAUUUUUAUAUCUAUUUUUAUUAAUUUUUAUAUUUUACUACUCUUUUUAAUGUGACAUCUUUACAGGAGAAAGUAUAGAGUGAUGAAGACUCCUAUUUUAUUGAUCCUUAUCCCUUUGAUAUAGUGCAUUAUUGAAGGAGUGUGAUAGAUAUAUUGUGGGAUCACAAUGAGAGCAUGAUAGGAAAAUUGACAUUACUCCAAAAGAAAAAUAUGAUUUCAUUCAAAACUUUGAUAAGUUUGGCUUGGAUAUUCACUAACAUAAAAGAAGAUUUGAAUGUAAAUGUUUAUGCGUGUAAAGUUCAACAAUAUUGUUUUGAGUUGUAUGAGACUGAAUAAAUUUUAUAAGCCAAAUUGAGGAGCUAAAAUUCGAGGACCAAAUAAUUGAUCAUAGCUUUUAUUUAGGGAUAAUACUCACAAAAAUACCUAAACUUUGACCGAAUUUUCAGUUGACCAUACUGAACUUUGCGGGGGUCCGAUUACUCCCCUAGACUUUUUAAAGUGGAUUUAAUUCCCCACCGAAAUGCUAUACCCAGUUUCAGUGGCUAGCGAUGUAAUACACGCGCCGAUCUCAUUUUUACACGUGCAUCUUUUGGCAGAUGGCAGUGUAAUACACGCGUCAACCUCGUAUUUACACGUGUCCAGGUGGGAAGAUAUAUGCCAUUAAAAUACGAAAAAAAAUUCUAGGGGUGUAAUAGGACCCCCGCAAAGUUCAGUAUGCUUAACUGAAAAUCCGGUCAAAGUUCAGGUAUUUUUAUGAGUAUUAUUCCUUUUAUUUAUGUUGUCACUAUUGAAAAUAGUAAACUAGAAUUACUUGAGGAUGUAUAUAAUAAUGCAAUUCAUGAGUUGAGAUGUAUUUGACCUCAUUCUAAUCCAUUUUCAGAUUAUGUUAGGAUAGUAAGGAUUAAACGAUUCAUCUGAGCCUAUAGAAAAGUGUAAAGAGGAAGAAAAAUAUUUCUAUAUUCUUGAAUUUGUUGUGCCAAAGUCGAGAAAUUGCAUUCCCCACUAAAGGGUCAAGAACUGCAAUAUGCCACAUCUAUUGCUUAAUUUUUUUACUCUUUUAACACCGUCUCUUGAGCGUAGUAGGAAAAAAAAAAAAGAAAUUACGGGUGCAAUUCAUAUGUUAAAAGUGGAAAAAAAAAAUGGGAGGCAACCCAAUUAGUAGUUUAACUUCUUUCUUUUUUUAAUAAUAUCAUAUUAUUUUUGUAGCUGUUAAUUUUUCUUUUUACUUUUGUAGAUUUAGGGAAAGUCUGAGUACUCAAAUUUAAAGCUAAGAAUCAUGUUGAAUUUAAGUGUGAGGUUUGCACGAGCCUUGAUAAAAAUUGAAGAAACAUGUUGUUGGCUAGGUCCUAGAGGGUCUCAGAAAUUAUAUUUAACACUCAUUUUAUUUGAUUUAUUUGUUUGGGACCACACAUGAUUUUAAAUAUAGGGUGAAAUAUCUUUCAAUAUUUGUUAAGGUAAAGUAUGCUAUAUGUUUUUAUUUAUUUAUUUAUUUAUUUAUUUAUUUAUUUAUUUAUUUUUAGUUGAAAAAACUAAAGAGAAGAAAAUUGAAAAAGUACCAAAAAUACAAAAGAUUUUACUUUUAUUCUUUAUAUUAUAAUAGCUUUUGUUUUUAAUUUUUAAUAUAUCUAUAGUGGAUCGUACCUUGCCCACGCCUUGAUUUUUUUUUAGGUUCUUUUCCGAGAGGGGGCCCUUUAAAAUGUAAUUUUUUUUUUAGAAAUAAAUUUUUUUAUUCUUUUAUUUUUUUGUAGGAGCAUUUUUUUCUUAAGAGAAGAAAAUAUAUAUAUUUUUUAUUGAUACUAGAAAUUUAGACAAGGCUCUAUUUUCUAAACUUUAGCGACGACUCUAUUUUCGAAAUAAAUAGGACCAGUUAUGAAAAUUUUUUGUUACAAUAUUUCACAUAGGCCUUCAGUUUGAUGGAAGUGCUAAAACUCUACAGUAAAAUGGGAAAGAUGGAGACUUCUCAACAUAGAUUAUUAGAGGCAGAGGCAAAAGAGGAAAACAUCCAUAAUUAACGCCAUUCUUUUGGUAUGUUUGGUCAUGAGGACCAAUUGCAUCUAUGCAUUUGUAAGACUAGCCUCUUAUUUAUUCAAAGACAGAGAUUCUAAGAAAGUAUUUUUAUUAUAUCUAGAGAGAGAAUCUCUACUUUGUUGUUCUUCCCCUUGGAAGAUAACAAUGAGAAUCAACAGAUGUUAGCGUCAUUAAAGCAGAAAUGCUUUAUCCAAAGGUUAGAGGCAAAAGAGUACUACAACUACGAUACAAAGUGGAAGUUAUAUACUUUCCUUUUAUCCAAUGUGAUGAGGUAUCAAGUAUUGUUUGAUACUUCAUCAUCCUAGAUAUAAGGGAAGUAUAUAUUUCAAUUGUAUUAUAGUUUUUUAUGCAUUUGCUUCAUAUCCUUGGAUAAACAUUUCAAAUUUAGUGACGUUACCGCUCUCGCAGUUCAUCUUCCGAGGGAUCUCUAACAUAGCCAUCAGUCCUUCAAGUUUGUCGUGAAGAACAAUGGGGUAGAGAUUCUCUCUCUAGAUGCAGUACAAAUAUUUUCAGACUUCUAUGUCUUCGAAGAAAUAUACUCAUAUUUUCAAAUGCAUAGAUACAAUAGAUUCUACAUAACUACACAAACCAAAGAAAGAUGUUAAUAUGGAGAUUUUCCUCCUCUGACUGUUUCUCAACAAUCUAAGUAGAGAAGGUCCCAUCUUCCCCUAAAUAGAGUUUUCAACACUUUUAUUGAUACACGAAAGAUAAGAGAAACACGAAACAAACACCAAAAUCAGUCCACUAGCCAAGAAACCGAGGACCUCUUUUAGUGACCUCUCUCGGAUUCGCUACCAACAAGAAGAAAACAAGGCACAAUGGCGUAAUAACACCAAAACAGUAGCAACACAACAAGAAACAAGAUGAACAAUAGACUAAUUUCGGAUUCCAUAUUAACAACACAAACACACGGUUACAACAUCAACACUACUACAUGAUUACAAAGAAACAAAAGGAAAGAUAGUUAGACAAAUUGAAGGUAUAAUAUUAACAACCCAAAAGCCUAUUCCACUCUUGGACCUUUAACAUCACACACAUCAAAUACCUAACUCUUCUUUUGGUACAAGAGUGACCCCGAUCUCCCAAGCAUCCAACAUUUUUAAGAUUGAAUCCAACAUGAGCGAUUCCACACUUAAGUUGAUUUCCAUAGUUACAAUUUCGGGUUGGUGGUCUUCUCUCCCUAAUGAAACCCUACAUUAUUCUAUUUAUAGUGUAUUACAAAUAAUAGGUAAAAUGACCCAAAGGCCCCAUAGUGAAGGGGCAACCCUUUAGUAUAUGUAGUGAACUAAUUUGGCCCAUUUAGUGUAUGUAGUGGACUGUUUUGGUGUCUAUUUAGGUGCUCCUUUGCCCUCAGGUCUAAUGUACGCCCUUAUAAGUCCAUCUACGUGAUGGUACUCGUAUCAUCAUCCCUUUCUUGAAAAGGAUUCGACCUCGAAUCCGUACCUUGCAAAAUCAAAGAGAACAAACAAGUACACAUCCCCAUGGCAUGAGGGCUAGGGUUAGCAAAAUAAACAACUAGCACUAUUAUGCCACGGUGGUACACACUUGAAGCACAACCAAGGAUCCUUUGUGUUAAUUAUGAAAAGCUUUUGUACAACAUCACAAACGAAAGGGCUCGGAUGAACAUCAAGAAUUAAGGGACAAAAACCGAGACUAUGCCUCUCAUAUGAUGUAUAUCCAACAACAUCAUGAAUAGGGAGAAUAGGGAAACUACCAUGCAACAAUCCAAUCCAAGGCAAGUAGUUUGCCCAAGAACUCGGCUUCCCUCUACAAAUGAUGUGAAGCGUGCUCCGAAGAGUCCCACAAGAUACUUCAACUUGUCCAACCCCAUGAAGGUGACAAGAAGUUUUUAACAUCCUUGGACCCUUCCACAAAUAAGAAUAAAACUUGGCAUCCUCAAGUUGUGGUUCACAUAACUUAAAUACAAGUGUGUCAAACAUGGAUACACGGAUAUGUGCAAUACCCCAAAGAGACAAUGACAUAUUUGCCCUAUGGUCCUCGAGUAGACACAAACCAUUAUUAACAUCAAAGGGAUCACAAUUCAAGUCGCCAUAUUUGUCAACCACGGGUGGGGUGUCAUGCAAAGGAGUACAAGCAAAAUCAUUUUUCAAAGAUAUGUCAAGCACAUGAUUAAUCCUAUGAGCCAAGCAAACAUUAGAAUCUUUACAACAACAUAGGCUCAACAUCUUCAAAUUCUUCACUCACAUGAGAUUCAUUAAUCACAUCACACAUAUUCUCAAGUGGUGGGAAAGUUUUACACACAAGUUGAUCAACACAAUUUUCACAUAAUGAUGUACUUUCAUUCAACACAAUAUCUUUAACACUAGGUGGACACAAAUCAAUCAUACUAGAAGAGUCGAUUCGGUCAUCUAUAGGAUCAACUAGUGUAUCUACUCGCACAACAUAUACAUCAUCCACAAGUGGUAAGAAAUCAAUAUACUUAUAUGUAGGUAAGCUACUACUCACACUCAAUGGUUUAUUAGUCACAUGUUCAUCAUUCACAUGUACCAAAGUAUAAGAGUUAGCUAUUUUUCCUUGACGUUCAUGAGUAUGUUCAUCUUUACCUCGGUGUGAAAGUCCUUUACAAGUUUGGGAAGAAACUUCCAUCGGGAAGCUCUCACCGCAAGGUGUUUAUGGACCUUAGGUUUUGAAUUUAUUAGGAUAAGUGUGGAUACCAAUUGGCGUAGCCUUUCAACGUGCCCUUUCAUGUCUUCAAUAUUGUCAGUGAUGCGGUUAAACCAUGGUACCUAAAAGAAAAGAAAACAACGAACAACAAAAAAACAAACUUGUUAGCUCAAAAAUGCCUCACCACACUCUCACUCUCAAUUUUUACCUCACAAUUGAUUUCACAAGUGUUGAAAGUCGGCUUGUACUUCGCGAGUGAUUGAGGAUCGAGUCUACUCUUGCCCAGAAUAGAUUUUCGUUUGAGUUGACUCAAAGAAAAUUUAUUUACGGACUUGAACCAACAAGAUACAACGAAUUCACAAAAGAUAAAAGCACACAAAAAACGUAGAUACGAACAAACAGACUCUACAACUAACUUACAAUCUAGUAGGAGAUUACUAGUUUGUUAAUUAGUGUUCGAACCAACAAACGGAACUAGGAAACAAUAAAAUGAAACUAAAAAAUAUGAAAUUUAAGCUUAGAAAUUGUCGGUGAACAGUAAAAAUGUGAUGUGGCAGCCACGUAUUGGUUGCGGUUGUUAUCAAAUUUUAUUUUCUAAUUCAAGUCUUGAUCCAAUUGUAAUUUAGAAUUGGUGGGAAUUGAUUAAGGAGAGAAAACAAGUCUUGAAAUCUUUUUUCAAAUUCAAAAAGCAAGACUUGACUUUUCUCCUCAAGACAUGGUCCUUAAAUCAUGGAAGGUUGUUGAAAAAGUGGUUGUUAAAUUCCUUGUGGUUGGAAUUGGUUGUAAAAGUCUUGAGAGGUCUUAAAUUUUGGAAAUAUGUCUUUCAAGACUAACAAAAUACACUCUCUUUCUUCAACUUCCAAGAUCAAACAUCCACUUUUUCUUCAACAAUAGAUGAAGAUGUGAAGAACACCAAGAACACAUUUUUUUGAAUCUUGAAGUUCAAAGGUUCAAGUUGGGACCCCAAACAUCAACAACACCUUUCCAAGCUUAAAAGUACAACACAAUAACCACCACACACAUUCAAACCUUGAACCAACAACACACCACACGUCCAAACUUUGAAUCCGCAACAACAAUACCAACAACAAUCACAUGGCCAAAGUUUAGGUUCACAAUAACAACAUCAACAAUUAAAGCUCAAAUCUAGAUCUAGACUUCUUUAGUUUUAGAGGUGAAGAAUCUAACACUAGAAACAACAAAACAAAUAAAAUGACUCCUAGAUCUAGACUCAAAACAAGAAAAAUCUCGGCCAAGACACAUCAAGAACACAAUUUUGGCCAAGACACAAAAAUGGACAGAUUCACUUCUUUUUGGAAUUUUUUGAUUUCAACUUUUUUAUUUUGAAUUUUCUAACAAGCAAGCCCAAGAUUGAUCUUGUAGGAACAAGAUCUAGCCUUGCUUUGAUACCAAAUGAUACACGAAAGACAAUAGAAACUCAAAACAAACACCAAAAUUAGUCCACUAGCCAAGAAACCAAGGACCUCUUUUGGUGACCCCUCUAAAAUUCGCUACCAACAAGAAGAAAACAAAGCACAAUGGCGUAAUAACACCAAAACAGUAGAAACACAACAAGAACAAGAUGAACAAUAGACUAAUUUUGGAUUCCACAUUAACAACACAAACACAUGGUUACAACAUCAACACUACUACAUGAUUACAAAGAAACAAAAGGAUAGAUAGUUAGACAAAUUGAAGGUAUAAUAUUAACAACCCAAAAUUCUAUUCCACUCUUGGACCUUUAACAUCACACACAUCAAAUACCUAACUCUUAUGUUGACAUAAGAGUGACCCCGAUCUCCCAAGCAUCCAACAUUUCCAAGAUUGAAUCCAACACGAUCAAUUCCACACUCAAGUUGAUUUCCCUAGUUACAAUUUUGGGUUGGUGGUCUUUUCUCCUUAGAGAGGAGAUAUUUCAAGUGUUAUAAACUCAUAAUAUUCAUUAAAAUCUCCCUAAUGAAAUCCUACAUUAUUCUAUUUAUAGUGUAUUGCAAAUAAUAGGUAAAAUGACCAAAAGGCCCCUUAGUGAACACUACAAGAAAUAACGCCUUUAGUGGCAACAAAAGUCGCGGCAAAAGACAUUUAGUGGCGACUGGGAGGUCGUUGGUUUUACGAUCGUAACUAAAGGUUAUUUGUGGCGACAUAUGAGUCGCCACUGAAUGAAAGAAUUUAGUAGCGACCCCAGGUAGCCACAGAAAAUGACGAGAGGCGACUUCACCUUGCUACAAUAGGCAAUUUCAAUAUAGAGGAAAUACACCUUUAGCGGCAACUUAUAGUCACCACUAAGAUUAAUAUUUUUGAAAAAAAAAAUUAAUACACCUUUAGCGGCAACUUAUAGUCGCCACUAAUAUUAAUAUUUUUGAAAAAAAAUUAAUAUAAAUUUGUUGUACAAUUAUUUCUUAAUACAAAAUUUAAUGUCUUCAGACUUCUAAUCAAUAAUUCUCCAUCAUUUAAAGAACCUUUCCCUAUAACGAACAAAGUAAAUUUUCAUUUCGAUAGCUUGAAAUUGAGAAAGAAAAGAUUUGAUCACAACAAUAGAAAAAAUUCAUGCUAACUAGCAUGUUAAUAUAAAUGUAUUACAAGUUUCUUACUCACAACUACACCGUACACAUGGAUAGACACACCCAAUGUUGCUAGAAUUCCUCAAACAAAAGAUAAACACCAAAGCAGUUUCUUAUCAAAUACUAGGUAGUGAAGGCAUAGGCCGAACGUUGGAGCAUUUUUCUUACUUAAAUGGCAUAUAUAUUUUACAGUUUUUACAUGUAGAAAUUAUAUGGCUGGCAAGUGUUAUCUUGUUUACAUCCAUCACUAUAUUAUUCACCUCAGACAUCUACCAUGCUAUACUAUUUACAUGUUGAAAAUGAUGUUGUUUGUAGCUUCUUAGUGAAACUUAACAAAAAAAAAGAAGCAAGAGACUAUAGACAAAUGAGAUUCUCGACCAAAUUUAGUAAGUCUACUUCUUAACACAUACAAUAAUCUAAUGUAUCUACCAAUGUCACCUAAAUUGAACAUUGCCUUCUACAAAAACAUGCUAAUGAAAAUAUUUAUAAUGUAGAUCCACAUUCUCUCCAUUUCUAGUGUGUUUUAUCAUUUCUCAAAGUCUGCAGGGAGAAACAUUUCACUUUGACCAAGUUGUAGUAACAAUCAAGGUGUAUAAGCAUCACCAAGUUGAAGGGACAAUUAAGGUGUCUAAGCAUCAAGCUACUAAACAUUCCAAGGAGAUAAAUAGAGGACCAACAAACAUCAUCUCUGUUUCUUCCAAGAUUGCAUGUGGUUAAGUAUUUUCAAAAGAAUCCAACCAUUUUAUCUAGCGAAGAUUCACAUAUUUGUAGCUUUAGAAACAUGAAAAGAAACAUCAACAUGGCCAAAAACAUGUGGCCUCAGAUUGUACCUGAUGUUCAGAAAUGAUGCACAAAUAUUUUUUGGUCUUGAGCUCUUAGCAAACGUCAAUAUGAUAAAAUUUGUAAAUUAAGUCAACUUGUAGAAUAUUAAUACUUCCCUGAUACUUCGUUUCAUGGAACACAAAUAAAUUAGUAAUCUGAAGCAAAUUUUUAAUGUGCCCUUGAAUUAGGGAAGUGAAGCAAUUUGUAUUCAGCAAUAUUUUAUAAAAAUAAAUAAGCAAGAAGAAACAACCAUAUUCAACCAUAACAAAGAUGAUGGAAGCCUCAUUAAAUACUCCAGUUCUACUAUGCCAAAACACAUGAAAAGUCAGCAUUGUCAUUAAGAUUAUAUCUAACACAAGUAAAAUAAGCGACAAACCCUGAAAAACUCAUCUCGAUCAAGCAAGCUGGUAGCAGAUAGAGGCAACUGCAAGUGUACAAGUAAAGAAAUAUUGAAGCAUCACGAGGGUAUGAUUUGAAGACAAAAAGCUAUAGGAAAUAGCAAAAUAUUUAGCUAAUCUCGAUAUCAAACCACUCGAUAGAACAGAACAGUCAAAGAAGACUAUCGACUUAGCUAAUCUCAAUUGAAGACCUACAUUAUAAAAAGGAAAAAGGAUUAACAGAAGUAAACAGAGGAGAAUAUUAGACAAACAUGAAAACAAAAAUAGAAGAAGACUAACCAGAAUGGAAAGUAUUAUUCUCAAAUAAACCAUAAGGUGCUGCACUAAACUAUAUCCCAUUCUUUUACUUUAAAUUAUCUCCAUAGUAAAAAUAUCUAGAAGAUAUAAAAAGCUUCUUAACUAAAUAAAUUAGGAACAUUUUGUUUAGCUAAACUACAAUAUCAUGUUAUCCAUGGAAACAUAUCGGAAGACAUCCGAGGAGCUAAAAUAACUCAAUUAUAAUGUUAAUGCUAGCUAACAACCAGCAAAAGUUCCAGGUAAGCUCUGGCGGCACAAUUGAAGAUCAGAAUUCAAAUAUCAAUUUACAUAAAAUCAAUCAAGCUAAAAAAGGAAAAAAUUUCAAUCAAUGGAAUCAAUUAUUCAAAUCAUCAAAGAAGGAAAAAUAUAUGACCAAGCCAUUUAGAGUGAAACCAAAUACGAAAUUGGAUGAAUCAAAAAAUCAAAAUCAACUGUUAUAAUUUCAAAUUUAAUAAUCUAUCAAAUAAAAGAACGAGAAGAAGAUAACAAUGUUAAUUUGGGACAUGAAAUUAAAUUGAGUACAAACCUGGAUGGAUUCACGGAUUUUGCCAGCGAUGAGUGGAAAUUAUGGCGGCGGAGAAGUGGACCAGUGGUGGUCCUUCGGACUGGCAGCUCCUGUUGCUGUUGCCUUUUCCGUCGGUAGAUGGGGAAUCUGACAGGCGCUUGAUCGGUGAUGGAGUUACCCACUUCUCCGGUGGAGGGCGGCGGCUACGUGGAGGGAUGGAGAAGGCGUUGUUUGAGGGCUGUUGGUGGGGCAGGGCUUGGUCGGAGAUGGCUUCAUUUGGGCUCACAAUAAGGGCUGUUGGUGGCGCGCGGCUCGCCGGAGCAUGGGUUUUCUGGUGGUUUUAAAGAGAAAGAGAGAGAGAGAGAAGGGAGAGAGGAGCGGCGCUGGUGUUGGGUGGUUGAUCGGCGGCGGUUCACCGGUGACAGUGAUGCAUCUGUUGUGGUGAGAGAGAGAGUAUGGGGAGGAGAGAGGUGGCUGCUUUGUUGUUGUUGAAAAUUGGAUUAGGUUUUAGGUUUUGUUUAAAGAAGAGAGUGAGAGAUUUGAUCUCAGUCAUUGGAUCAAUUUUGAUCCAAUGGCUGAGAUUAAAAGGGUUUAAAAG